rnacentral:tRNA from 3 species
GUCAGCAUAGUUUAACCAAAACAUUAAGCUGUGAACUUAAAAACAAGGACCUACCACCCUUUGCCGACC